rnacentral:lncRNA from 10 species
ACUUGGACCUAGCAGCAUCAAUGAGCCAGCUCCUCACUGGGGAACAUGCAAACCCCCAGCUGCUGGUGUGCAGGAAAAGAAUCCAGGAGAUCACCUGAUGAAGCCCAGCAUUUUACAGGCCAAUGAAGAUACACAGGCUUUCCAUGGCGCACAUGAGGGAGGACAUGGACUUGAGAAUUGUGAGGCUUGAAGAAUCCUCAGAGAUCACCUAGCAUAACAGGAAACCAAGGAUUUGGAGGGAAAAAUCUUGUCGCAGAUCACACAGAAAUAUCAGGGCCUGGUUUGAAUCUUACCUCUGCCCCAACCAGUUGUGUGACCUUGAGAAAGUGAAGAUCUUUUUUGUUCAUUGGUUUCCUCAUCUGUAAAAUAGGGAUUUAAUUUUACCUGCCUCAGAAGAUUGUAGUGAGGAUUAAAUGAGGUGAUAAAACUAUAAUGUUUAGGACAGUAAAUUGUAUGUAAUAUAAUAUUAAUAAAUAUUAGCCAUUAUUA